rnacentral:lncRNA from 1 species
GAACGUUUUAGGAGUGGUACUUGGCAGUUUAGAAAACGUCUAACAAGAGAAACCAAGACUGCAGAGGUAGUGGAGGUGUCGUGGAAAGGCCUGGCGAGGCUGACCUGGCUGGGCGGGGGACGCCCGGGAAGGGCUCGGCGUCUCUGGCCUGCUUCCUCCCGGCUUCUGGGCCUCGGGGAGCCCCACCCGGAUGCUCACCGUUCGCCUGCCCGGGAGGGCAGAGGUGGGACUAGCCCCGCGGAGUGCCCACCCUCUCGGAGCGGCCCCAAGGCACGGCCCAGGCCUGCCCUCCCCGGGCCGGGGUUGUCUCCCCAGCUAGGGGGAGACUCCGCGGGUAGCACGGCCGGGACGGGGUUGGGAGAGCUGGUUUGGAGGGCCAACCUCGCUGGGUGGCCUCGCAGCGCGGAGGGUGGGGUUCCGGAAGCCCCGCCCACCAGCGCUGCCCUUAGCCAAUCCGGUGUCUGGGCGGGGCGAGGGGCGGGCUCCAGCGGAACCGACCCUUUACGUUCCCUUCUCUCCUCUCCUACUCAGCGCGGUUGCCUGGCAACAUCCGAACUGGUCCUCUUCAACGCUCCCCUUUAUCCGCUCUUCCGAGCUGGACUCCUUCACAGCCGGCCCUGGGCCUACCACAGAGAUGCCGAACCUCCCGCGUUCCUAGAGAGGGCGCGGGCGGGGGCCCCGGCCGGAGCCGCUUCCGGCUUCCAGCUCCCAGCUCGGGUGUCUCGCGGCUGGCGGGAGGCUGGGAGCUCGGGCCCGGCCGCCAGCUGCGGCCUCUGCCCUGGAGCUCGGGGGCUCCGGGACACCUGCCGCCGGCGCCCUGGCACCUUCCGAGGCCAGGGAGCGGGGGGAGCCAUACAGAGAGAGAGAAGAGAGAGAGGCAGAGGGAGAAGCAGGCUCCAUGCAGGGAGCCCGACGUGGGAUUCGAUCCUGGGUCUCCAGGAUCGCGCUCUGGGCCAAAGGCAGGCGCCAAACCGCUGCGACACCCAGGGACAGGGUAUCCCUCCUUCGCUUUUCAAAUACAAAAUGAAUGCCUGCUUUACAGGUUCUUUGCUAAACGUCGAGGAAUACGCGAUGCCAGAGCCAGACGGGAUCCCUGCCCGCACGGGGUUCCGGCCUAGUGAGGGAGACCGCCGAGCCCGUGAGUGGCACAAACACUGCUCUCAAGUAGUGACAGGUACCGGAAGGAACGGAGCGGGGAGGCAAUGGAGCCUGUUAGGAGCGGACUGUCAGAGGACCCCGCUCAAGGCGGGAGCAUUAAGCCGGGACUUGGAGAAUGACAAGAGGCCAUUUUACAAGGAUUUGGGGACAACCUUCCAAGCAAGGGGAGCAGAGUGA